rnacentral:rRNA from 1 species
GACGAACGCUGGCGGCGUGCUUAACACAUGCAAGUCGAACGGAAAGGCCCUGCUUUUGUGGGGUGCUCGAGUGGCGAACGGGUGAGUAACACGUGAGUAACCUGCCCUUGACUUUGGGAUAACUUCAGGAAACUGGGGCUAAUACCGGAUAGGAGCUCCUGCUGCAUGGUGGGGGUUGGAAAGUUUCGGCGGUUGGGGAUGGACUCGCGGCUUAUCAGCUUGUUGGGGGGGGAGUGGCUUACCAAGGCUUUGACGGGUAGCCGGCCUGGGAGGGUGACCGGCCACAUUGGGACUGAGAUACGGCCCAGACUCCUACGGGAGGCAGCAGUGGGGAAUAUUGCACAAUGGGCGGAAGCCUGAUGCAGCAACGCCGCGUGCGGGAUGACGGCCUUCGGGUUGUAAACCGCUUUCGCCUGUGACGAAGCGUGAGUGACGGUAAUGGGUAAAGAAGCACCGGCUAACUACGUG